AGAUGGGUACUGUGAUAUACAGCAGAUUUUCUUGCUACAGAAAUAGCACACUGCUCUGCAAAUGAAUUGGCCAUACAGAAAGGGGAGCUGAAUGACUUCGAUGUCAACUUCUCCACUCCAGGAGACUGUUGGUCCUGGAUUUCUCACCGGAAAACUAGACAUCACUCUCACAGGGAAAAGAUGUGCUAUCGGCAUCCCACGUCUAAGGGGUAACCUCUCUCCCUGAGGUAUUUGUCAUCCCGUUUGCAUGGACAGCCAAAGGAUUGUUGCAGUUCAGGUCUCACCAGCACUCCUGCAGGUGGCCUUUGGCAUUGGAGUAAGUGAUAAGGCAGCCUCUUUGAUCUGUUGCUACACUGCUACCACGAUCCUGCUCAGGCCUCAAUAAGGACGGCGAUAUUGCCGCCAUGCUCAAGGGUACUCACAUGCUGAAGAUCAAAUCCAGCUCAUGGAUGAAAUCACACUUUUAUAAGCUGAAUGAAGACUGUUGGACGGUGUGGUACAAUUCCAAAAAGAUCCUGAAGUCAGCCAGGAGCCAAAUGUUCUCGAUCGACGACAUCAAGGAGAUGAGACCAGGUCACCAGACAGAAGGAAUGAAGCAGUACGUCACGAAGAUACCCACCGACCGCUGUUUCACAGUCGUAUUUAAGGGCAUGAGGAAGAGCUUGGAUCUUGUGGCCUCCGACGCCAACGAGGCCUGGCAUUGGAUCUGUGGGCUCUCCAAACUAAAGCAGAGAGGCUGCAGCAUGGACAAGAGAGAGCGGCUGGUCUAGCAUCCAUCUAGGAGUGUGUCACGGCAGAGCGCCAGGGAGAGAGGGUGCCACUUCCCUCAUGGUCUCCAACAGCAGCCCCCAAGUCCACCCCUACCCAAUGCAGAAGGUCAAAGGCACCUCCCCAUGUUAGGAAUUUUUCCUGCUUGUUUCCCCUAUGUGAUUUGCAUUUCCCUCAGGCCCUCAGACUCCAUAGAUUCCAUGAGCUACUAAUGGUUUUUCAGUAUUAUUUUAAUAUAUAGUUAACCUUUAGGUUUUAACAUGUUAUAAGUAUUAUAGGCUAAACUUAAUGUUACAGGUGUUUAUGAAAAGUAAAGUUACU